rnacentral:rRNA from 1 species
ACUCCUACGGGAGGCAGCAGUGGGGAAUCUUGGACAAUGGGGGCACCCGUAGCAUCCAGCCAUGCCGCGUGAGUGAUGAAGGCCUUAGGGUCGUAAAGCUCUUUCGCCUGUGAAGAUAAUGACGGUAGCAGGUAAAGAAACCCGCGUAACUCCGUGCCAGCAGCCGCGGUAAUACGGAGGGGUUAGCGUUGUUCGGAAUUACUGGGCGUAAAGCGCACGUAGGCGGAUCGGAAAGUUGGGGGUGAAAUCCC